AUUAGUAAUAUAUAACUAAUAAGCUAAGAGAGGAAAGAAAAUUGAAUAAUAUAAAAUAAUCAAUUGAAUAAUACAAAAUAGUUAAAAGAGGGCAGAAAAAGAGAGGAAGGGAAAAAAAAGCAAAGAGCAAGUACGGUCAAUAGAAAACAGUGAAAAAUGGUAGGCGUUUUAAUUUUCUGGGGUUGCUCUAACAACGUAGCAGCACAAACUGUAUGGUUUUUAAACAACCGAGAUUUAGUCUCUCACAGUUCUUGAGGCUAGGUUCAAAAUCAGGAUAUUGGUAAUGUUGGUCCCUGCUGUAAUCUGUUCCACGCUUCCCUAUUAGCUUCUGGUGGUUGCUGGUACAUUGAUUUUGGGCUCUGAGCUUUCAGAACUAUGAGACAAUUUUUUUGUAUGAGGUUUUAAGUUAUAAAGUUUGUGACAAUUUCUUACAGCAGCCACAGGAAAUGAUUACCGCUACAGUUGUACCUGAACAGCACACUAUAUAGCAACUGAUUUAAAUGGCAUUCAUAGAAUAUUCCAUCUAAAGGCAAAUAUCUAUUCUUCUCAAGCUCACAUUGAAAAUUAACCAAGCUAUAACACAUUCUAUACCACAAAAUACACGUUAACAAAUGUAAACAAUUGAACUCAUACAAAAUGUUUUCUUACGCAACAAUAGAAUUUAACUAGUAAUCAGUAACAGACAGCUGUAAUACUCCAAAAUAUUAAGCAACACUUUAAAAAUAGGCUUAGUGGGUUUUAUUGGUAAACUGAUGAAUUCUACCAAAAGUUGGAGAAGGAAAUUAUUAAAAUUCUCCCCAAAUUUGUUUCAGAAAAUGAAAGGAGAUGGACUAUUUUGUAACACAUUCUAUGAGGUCAGCAUUACCCUAAUCCAGAGCCAAGUAAAGACAUUAUGAGAAAGGAAAACCAGAAACCAGUAUCUCUCAUGAACACAGAUGCAAAAAUUCUCAACAGUACGUUAGUAAAACAAAUCCAACAAAAUAUAUAUAAAAAUUGUGCACCACAAGUAAGUGGGAUUUAUUCAAGGUAUGCAAGCUGGUUCAAUCUUUGAAAAUUAUUAAUGUAAUCUCCCAUAUCAAUAAAGAAGAAAAAUCAUAUGAUUAUAUCAACUGAGGCAGAAAAGCUAUUCGACAAAAUUCACACCAUUCAUGAUAAAAAGUCUCAGCAAACUAGGAAUAAAGAGGAAGUUUCUCGGCCGGGUGCAUCUGAGGUCAGGAGUUCAAAACCAGCCUGCCCAACAUGGCAAAACCCUGUCUCUAUUAAAAAUACAAAAAUUAGCUGGAUGUGGUGGUGGGCGGCCUGCAGUCCCAGCUGAGGCAGGAGAAUCGCUUGAACCCGGGAGGCAGAGUUUGCAGUGAGCCGAAAUCGUGCCACUGCACUCCAGUCUGGGUGACAGAACGAGACUGCGUCUCAAAAAAAAGAAAAAAAGAGGAAGUUUCUCAACUUCAUUACAAAUCUGAAAAAAAAAAAAAAAAAAAAAGACUCCUAUAGCUAACAUCAUACUUAUAAGUGAGAGACUGAGUACUUUCCCCCUAAGGUCAGAAAAAAGGAAAGGAUAUCCCCUCUCACCAUCCCUGUUGAACAUUGUACUAGAAGUCCUAGCUAGUGUAAUAAAACAAGCAAAGACAAAUAAAAACUAUACAAACUGCUGGCCAGGCGCGGUGGCUCACGCCUUUAAUCCUAGCACUUUGGGAGGCCAAGGCGGGCAGAUUGCCUGAGCUCAAGAGUUCGAGACCAGCCUGGGCAACACAGUGAAUCCCUGUCUUUACUAAAAUACAAAAAAAAUGUAGCCAGGUGUGGCGGUGUGCGCUAGUCCUGGGAGGCUGAGGCAGGAGAAUUAUUUGAACCUGAGAGGUGAAGGUUGCAGUGAGGUGAGAUUGUGCCACCACAUUCUAGCCUGGGUAACAGUAAGAGACUCCGUCUCCAAAAAAAUACACCAAAAAAAAAAAACCAUACAAACUGCAGAGUAUGAAACAAUUAACUUUAUUCUCAGAUGACAUGAUUCUCCAUGUAGAAAAUGCCAAAGAAUUGACAUUAAAAAAAAAACUCUUCUAUGACUAAUAAGUAAUUAUAGCAAGGUUGCAAUAUACAAGAUUAAAAUACUAAAGUCAGUUUCCUUUCUAUGUGCCAGCAAUGAAGAAUUGAAAUUUGAAAUAAAAAAAAAAUUACAAUAGCACCAAAAGUAAAACAGAAAAAACUCUUUAAAAAGGUACAGAAUCUACAUGUGGAAAUAAUAAGCUUUUCAGCAGUGUUAGUUAUUAGGAAAAAGCAAAUCAAAACUGCAUUGAGAUACCAUUAUGUUCCCACUAGAAAGGCUGUAACUAAAAAAAAAAAAAAAAAGGAAAUAAUCAAGUAUUAACAAGGAUGUGAAGAACCUAGAAACUUUUUAUAUUGCUUUUUAUAAGCUUUUGUAUUGUUACUCAUAUAAAGUGAGUAACAACUUUGGAAAAUAGUACGACAACUUAAAACUUAUACAUAAACAACAUACAACACUCUUUUUUUUUUUUUUUUUUUUUUUUUUUUUUUUUUUUUUUGAGACGGAGUCUCGCUCUGUCGCCCAGGCCGGACUGCGGACUGCAGUGGCGCAAUCUCGGUUCAUUGCAAGCUCCGCUU
rnacentral:lncRNA from 1 species